rnacentral:rRNA from 1 species
UGGGGAAUAUUGCACAAUGGGCGCAAGCCUGAUGCAGCAACGCCGCGUGAACGAUGAAGGUCUUCGGAUCGUAAAGUUCUGUUGCAGGGGAAGAUAAUGACGGUACCCUGUGAGGAAGCCCCGGCUAACUACGUGCCAGCAGCCGCGGUAAUACGAAGGGGGCUAGCGUUAUCCGGAUUUACUGGGCGUAAAGGGUGCGUAGGUGGUCUAUUAAGUCAGGUGUGAAAGCGUGAGGCUUAACCUCAAUAAGCACUUGAAACUGAUAGACUUGAGUGAAGGAGAGGAAAGUGGAAUUCCUAGUGUAGCGGUGAAAUGCGUAGAUAUUAGGAGGAAUACCGGUGGCGAAGGCGACUUUCUGGACUUUUACUGACGCUCAGGUACGAAAGCGUGGGGAGCAAACAGG